UACGGGGGGGGCAAGCGUUGUUCGGAAUUACUGGGCGUAAAGGGCUCGUAGGCGGCCAACUAAGUCAGACGUGAAAUCCCUCGGCUUAACCGGGGAACUGCGUCUGAUACUGGAUGGCUUGAGUGUGGGAGAGGGAUGCGGAAUUCCAGGUGUAGCGGUGAAAUGCGUAGAUAUCUGGAGGAACACCGGUGGCGAAGGCGGCAUCCUGGACCACGACUGACGCUGAGUGAGCGAAAGCGUGGGGAGCAAACAGG
rnacentral:rRNA from 1 species